CAUCCACAAUGAGUCACGAAUGCUCCUACACCUUCGUGAUCAAGAAUCAACACUUGGGGUGCCCAUCCUCUUAUGAUUAAUCCUUUUUCUUUCGUUCUUUCCUCGAAUCCUUCAGGUAGACACGAGUCUUCGUUUUCUUGUUUGAAUUUUCUUUCUCUGAUAACCCAAAUGAAUUCUUGUCCAGAAUCUUCAAUUCCCAUUGCAAGUUCUUGAAUUUGUGAUCCAGUGAAUUUUACUCCGCUUCCAAAACAGAUGUAAACAAUAGAACUUGAUUUCUUCGAAUCAAGCCAUUUCAAGCACUCGUGUUUAUCGAUAGAGGAUUUCUUCCCUCUUUCUGUUUUAUCUUCAAUGUCCCUGUUGCACAGCGAAAGAGGCCCAAUAGCCCAUGAUUUAUUAUCUUGAACUUUGGUAUAAUGUUCAAAAUAAUCUGGUUCAAGUUCGUAGAAACUGUUGAAGAUAACUCCAUAGCUUUUCAAAUCCGCCUCCCUGACUUCAUGAAAUAUCUGGAAUAUAAUUGCCUCUUCCUCUCCUAGAUCAAACGGAGACAACUGCGUUGUGGUCAGCCUGAUUUGAUGAGGCAAAUUCGGUACAACAAAAGUUUCAGAAUCAGAUGACACAUUCUUGAAAGGCUUAUUACGUUUGAUGCUUUCCGCAACACAGAGAGCAAAGAAACCUGUGCCAUGGAAAACAAUUCUUGGAAUGUUGAAUUUGGCAGCAGAAUCAGUACUCCAAGGGAAUAACAUAUCUGAAACAAUACAAUCGGGACGACACUCUUUAACAAGAUUCUCAAAUGGUUCUUGCAUCAUAGCUGUAGCUUUGAAGAAGUUUUUGAACAAUUCAGGGGAAGGAACGAGAUCGAGGCGUUCACAUCCUUCAGGCAAAUCAUUCUCCACUGCUUGAAAUGUUAUCAAACGGAUGUCAAUUUCGAUACCCAAAUGCUUGUUUCUUUGAAUAGAAUCUGAGAAAACCGAUUCAUUGAGAGGGGUAGUGAUUAUAGUUGCCUUAACACCGCGUGAAGCGACGAGCUUAGCCAUGUCAAGUGUAGGAAUCAUGUGACCUUGAGCCAUCAGGGGAAAGAAGAAAAAAUGAAAUCGACUCAUACCUUCAAUUUUCAGUUUCUUUUUGGGAAUGAGCUUAUUCAGUUGUAAUUGAAGGAUUGCAAGAAUUACCAAAUGCAUCAUAUAUUAAUAGACUUUUUUGUUCGAAACAGGGAAACUGUUAAGAAAAAUUAUUGCCUUUGCUAUUACUCCACUUUGUAAUGUUCAUUGAAUUUUUGCCCUACAUGAUUUCAAAUUGUCGGCCACUCUUGAGCUACAUUGUUCAUCGACUCCUAUUCCCAUAUUUCUCAUUAAAAAAUUGCGCUGAGCCAAGUUACUGUUUCAAAUCCAGCAGUUUGCUGAUCAAGAAUCCUGACGACUUGGGAUUAGUGCUGUGAUGAUUGACAGAAGAACCAGGUCUUUAUCAGGUCUCAAUAAUGAGCUGGCAGUGUUUAUGAUUGACAAACAACUAUAGAAGAACAAGUUCCUUUGCAUGUCUAUUCCGAGGAACAAGUUUUAUGCACAUAGUGAAAGAUUCAAGUUCUUACUUAAAAUACGAUCGGAGACGACUGUUGAUCAAAUGCGACAAAGUAGAAAAUAUUGUCAUGAAGAACACACACAUCGAUCCAACUCUCUUGUUAGUUUUCUGGAUCUAAGUAUCCAAAAAUGACCAUUCUGGCUACUGUAUGCUUUCUACUUUAUGGCGGCGUAAAUAAAUCUCUAAGGGUCAUUUGGUAUGAGAGAUAAUAUUCCGGAAUAAAAUAUAGAAUUAUUUUAUGAUGCAUUUGGUUAGGAGUAUUAGUUAGUUCCAGAAUUAUCCAUCCCACCCAUUUAUACUAUAAUGAUGGUAUAAGCUAUAACUUUUUUCUGUCUCCCAUACCAGACAACCCCUAAGUUUUUCUUAUUUCAAUACUAUACAAACCAUAUAGUUAGUUACAAAUGUGUGAAUAGUCCUUUGAAAUUUAUAUUACGUGUAAUACUUGGUAAAAGAAAAAAAAAAGAUUACGUAACAAAAGAUCACACUUGUAGAGGGAAUAUGGUCAAACAAGAAUGACAGAAAAUGGUAGACCCAGAAAACUAUAGUCUAAACAUUGUCGGGCGACUAAUUAAAACUUAAAUGAAGGAUCCAACUAAACUUGAGAUCUGGCGUCUCAUAAUUUUGCAGCAUUCACAGAAGUCUUUGGCCUUAUGGAAGUAUUCAACAAUUGCGGAGAGACAUAUUCAAUAAAUCAAUUAGUAGUGAUUAUUCCAUUUUAAUUCUAUGUAUUAUUCACAUGUCCAAAUUUCACGACUUUGGAGCAAUUAGUCAAGAAGAGUUGUAGUUUGUUUUACUACCAUAGUACAUACGUCAUCUUCGUGUUUGUGAAUAAUAUGACGUGUGACGAAAGUUUUAUGUUGAUAAUCGAGGUAUCUGAUACGUUGAUUUCGAGAUGACUGAUCUUGGGUUGAAAUAUUCUUUUUGAAGUCAUUAAUUAUUAGAAGUGGUGACAAAAGGUAAUGAUCAAAUCAGCAAAACAGAAAACGUACACACGCAUAAUAUAGAAACAUACAUGUUUUUUUUUAAUCACUACUUAAUGACCUGUGGAAGUAUAUGAAGUUAUAUCUUGUAGCAAAGUAGCCCAUCCAUUGUAAGAUGAUCCUCCUUCUUCAAUAGCUUCUCUUGCCAUUUCCUUAUACUCUUUUGCUCUGCUUCUGAAUCCCUCUGCUUCUUCACUCGCCAUUACUCUCUUUAUCGCCUUUGCUAUUGCUUCCCUUUUCACUCCUUCACUAGCUGUUCUCUUCCAUUGCAUCGAACCAACGCCAGCUCCAGUUCUCAUUACCUCAGUCACCAACUUCUCAUUGCAAAAUUGCUCCGCAAAUACUGGCCAUGUCACCAUUGGUACCCCUGCUGAUAUUCCUUCCAGUGUCGAAUUCCAUCCACAAUGAGUAACGAAAGCUCCAAUAGCUUCGUGAUCAAGAAUCAGCACUUGGGGUGCCCAUCCUCUUAUGAUUAAACCGUUUUCUUUUGUUCUUUCUUCAAAUCCUUCAGGCAGCCAAUCUUCAUUGCCUGUUCUAAUAACCCAAAUGAAAUCUUGUCCAGAAGCUUCUAGUCCCAUAGCAAGUUCUUGCAUCUGUGCUGUAGUGAAAUCUGCUGUACUUCCAAAACAAACGUAAACAAUGGAACUUGAUUUCUUCGAAUCAAGCCAUUUCAAGCACUCGUGUUCAUCGAUAGAUGAUUUCCUCCCUCUUUCAGCUUUAUCUUCAAUGUCCCUGUUACACAACGAAAGCGGGCC
rnacentral:lncRNA from 1 species